rnacentral:rRNA from 1 species
CAGUCGCCGCGGUAAUACGAAGGGGGCUAGCGUUGUUCGGAUUUACUGGGCGUAAAGGGUGCGUAGGCGGACUGAUAAGUCAGGGGUGAAAUCCCAAGGCUCAACCUUGGAACUGCCUUUGAUACUGUUAGUCUUGAGUUCGAGAGAGGUGAGUGGAACUGCGAGUGUAGAGGUGAAAUUCGUAGAUAUUCGCAAGAACACCAGUGGCGAAGGCGGCUCACUGGCUCGAAACUGACGCUGAGGCACGAAAGCGUGGGGAGCAAACAGGAUUAGAGACCCGUGUAGUCCCUGUCUCUUAUAC